rnacentral:lncRNA from 1 species
CUCCCGAGGCAACCGGAGCCUCAUUUGCAUAUCUGUGCCCGCGCUGCUGAUUGGCCCCGGCGCGUAGGGGCGGCCGUGACCGGCGCAGCUCGGGUCGUCGCUCGGUCCAGCUAGGGCUACCCAGAAGGGAGGCUACCUGCGCGGCUCCGCGCCCCGGCCCCCGGGCCCCGGCCCCCGGGCCCCGGCCCGACCUCGGACUAAGGGCAGCGGGAGGCGGGGUUGCUGCUCUACUCCAAGGCGGCCCGCUUUGCCGUUCCUCGCGCAGCCCCGGGCGGCCUCGGGGCGGGGAAGGGCUGUGGCCGGGCGCCCUCUGGCCGGAGCGUGGGGCAAUGCAGAGCCGACUCCCCCGCCGCCACGUCAGGCCCCGCCACGUCAGGCCCCGCGGGCACGCCCCGGCUGCCGGCGGCCUGCGGGGUCGCCGCCGAGGUCACUCACGCGGGCUCUGGAAGCCCUUUUGAGCCGCUUGGGCUCCGACCCACCACGUCCUCCGUCCGCGCCGAGUCCCCGGAGACACGCGUGUGCAGUAAAAUCCGGAGCCCUGGUGAAGGCCGCCACCAAUGAUGCAGCGAUUAAAGCCAGGUGCGGAGCACCUGCUGCGAAAAGGGCACGGGGACCGAGUCCCAAUUCACGCGACGGCGUGCCCCGAGUGAGAGGGCUGUCCCCGGUUCAGGAUUUACGUUCCAGAAAGGGGAAGGAAAACGAAAGAGGGGUUGCAUAAAUAAAUGAUAGGCGUGCCACACUGGUUGAGGAAUUGAGCAUGCACUUGAAAACCACUGUCUUCGGAAGGCUCUGGGACACAGGAGUUCCUUCUGUCACUAAUUAACUGAGUGACCUACAUUGUCUCAGUAUGUCUCAGGGCCUUGGUUUUCUCCUCUGUAAAACGAAGAGGAAGAUACUUCAAAGCCUCCUCCUGCUUUACAGUUCAGAUCUCACACUGUGAGCUUUUAUAAGCAGCUGCUUGUCAUAGCCUUAGAAGAUCUUUCAGAAAAAGAAGUCUGGAUGCUACCCCUGAGUACCUGAUUCCCUACCUAUACAUUUGCUUCUACUAGGGAAAAGUCGGAUCUGUGUCUAGCUUGGGAGGAAUUCAGAUUCAUUAAAAUUGGGCUGAAACUUGAAAAAUGAAUGCAUCCAACACACCCGUUGGUACUGUAACUGUUGUACUCUAAAAGUAUACGUGAUCCACUCAGCUAAAAACUGAUGGAGCUGAGCAUCUUGGACAAGCUUUUAAUCCCAGCACUUGCAAGACUGAGGCAGC